UACGGAGGGUGCAAGCGUUAUCCGGAUUCACUGGGUUUAAAGGGUGCGUAGGAGGGUCUGUAAGUCAGCGGUGAAAUUUCCGAGCUUAACUCGGAAACUGCCAUUGAUACUAUAGAUCUUGAAUACCGUGGAGGUGAGCGGAAUAUGUCAUGUAGCGGUGAAAUGCUUAGAUAUGACAUAGAACACCAAUUGCGAAGGCAGCUCACUACACGCAUAUUGACUCUGAGGCACGAAAGCGUGGGGAUCAAACAGG
rnacentral:rRNA from 1 species